rnacentral:rRNA from 1 species
AGAGUUUGAUCCUGGCUCAGGAUGAACGCUGGCGGUCUGCUUAACACAUGCAAGUCGAACGGAGUACUUUCGGGUACUUAGUGGCGGACGGGUGAGUAACGCGUGAGAAUCUGCCCUGGGGAGGGGGAUAACGACUGGAAACGGUCGCUAAUACCCCAUGUGCCGAGAGGUGAAAAGUAAUUCGCCCCAGGAUGAGCUCGCGUCUGAUUAGCUAGUUGGUGAGGUAAGAGCUUACCAAGGCGACGAUCAGUAGCUGGUCUGAGAGGAUGACCAGCCACACUGGGACUGAGACACGGCCCAGACUCCUACGGGAGGCAGCAGUGGGGAAUUUUCCGCAAUGGGCGCAAGCCUGACGGAGCAAGACCGCGUGGGGGAGGAAGGUCUGUGGAUUGUAAACCCCUUUUCUCAGGGAAGAAUGAUGACGGUACCUGAGGAAUCAGCCUCGGCUAACUCCGUGCCAGCCGCCGCGGUAAUAC